GGCUGCGGGGCGCGCAUAGCGGGCGCGGGCGGCUGGCGCGGAGACGGAGAUGCGGCCCGCCUGCGCUGCCCGCGGCUCCGCUCCUGGCGGCCUUUCACACCCAUACCCGGUAUUUCACAGGACCCUUGCAACUUCUGCCAGCCAUCCCAUAGAUGGGCGGGGGCUGGUGGCUGGCACUGGUUACCCCGUGGAAAGGUCACGAUCACGACAGAACCCAGUGCAACCACGUGGUUCUCCUCCAUCUUGACUGGUGACCUCAUCAUGAUUUCUUGUGAGCUCCAGGGAGUCGACUUGGAUCCAUCUGAACAGCAUCUUGCCAGGUCCAAGUAGUGCCGGACAGUUCCACAGAGCCUGGACAGUGAAGUGAAACAACCAGCUACAUCAAGAUGUGGCCAACACCCUAGUUUUCUCAGAUCUCCCAAAGAUGAUCAACGCCCCCCAGGUCAUCAGGAAGCAGUCUCGAGAACACAGUGCCCUCAUCCCCGCCUCACCUGCUACCCUGUUCUAACUCCUCACCUUUUUAUAAUAAACAAAAGGGAGGAAUAUUAGCAUUUAGGCAUCUUUAUUGACCUGCCCUUAGGGUCAUGACAGGAUCUAUCCUCAGCUGCAGCCACUAAGAGCACCCCCUGUGCACAUUCGCUACAUUUCCUUAUAAAAGGCGGGCCUUGCCCACCACCUGUCUCUUUCUCUCUCUCCUUCCCUCUCCUCGUCUCUUGGUUAUUUGAGACAAGGUUUCUCUGUGUAGCCUUAGCUGUUCUGGAACUUGAUCUACAGACCAGGGUGGCCUAGAACUCAGAGACUCACCUGCCUCUGCCUCCCUCAUGCUAGGAUUAAAGGUGUGCACCAUUAUGCCUAGCCUACACCUGACUUCUCAAAGGAGACUCUAAAGACAUGAGGGCCUGGACAGAUGUUCAAACUCUAAGAGAACACAGAUGCCAGCCAUGGCGACUCUACCUAGCAACAUUUUCAGUCACAAUAGUUGGAGAAAGGAAAAUGUUCCAUGAUAAAACUAAAUUUAAGCAACAAAUUGGACAACAAAUGAUACAGCUAACUCUCCCAGGACUUGACAUUUAACCCAACUUUUUCUUUUCAGAAUCUUCUAAAGAUGCUGUCACCCCUAGAUAACAGGAAGUAAAUUUAAGAACACUAUGUCCACAUUCCCAAGAGCUGGGGCAGGUGGUUUUUGGUUCUCGAAUGGGUUAUGGAUAUUUGUCAUUGUUUAGUGGGGUUGGUUACAAGUUGUUAUUGGUAAUGGUCAGAAAAAAAGCUGAACAAAGUUUAGAUUCAGGGUUCUUGUUUUGAAAAGAAAAAAAUGGGAUAAAGAAAUAGGAUAAAAGGAUAGAUUAUUGAAUCUACUUUUUUUGCUUUAUUUAAUUAAGGAUUUAAAAAAUCCAUUUUACAUAUUGAUCACAGAUCCCUCUCUCCUCCCUCCUCCCACCCCUCCCACCUCCCCCCCAAACCACCCCUAUUCCCUCCUCCAAAAAUCCAAGGUCUUCCCCGGGGAGUCUGCAGAGCCUGGUACAUUCAGUAGGGGUAGGUCCAAGCCCCUCCCCUUGCAUCAAUGCUGUGUAAGGUGUCCCACCAUAGGUAGUGGGCUCUAAAAAGCCAGCUCAUGCACCAGGGAUGGAUCCUUAUCCUACUGCCAAGGGGGCCUCUUAAGCAGAUCAAGCUACACAACUAUCUAGCUUAUGCAGAGGGCCUAGUCCAGUCCCAUGCAGGCUCCACAGGUGUUGGUCUAAAGUUCAUGAGUUCCCACUAGUUGGGUUUGGUUGUCUCUGUACAUUUCCCCAUCAUGAUCUUGAUGCUCCUUGCGCAUAGAAUCUCUCUUCUUUCUCUUCAACUGGACUCCUGGAGUUCUGCUUGGUGCUUGCCUGUGGAUCUCUGCAUCUGCUUCCAUCAGUUACUGGAUGAAGGCUCUCUUGGUCCAGUCAGAGCUGGCAGAUUCUCUGUCUCAGGAAGCCACUUUGAAUCCACUUUUAAAAAGCAACUACUUGUUUUAAAUAUUUUACAUUGAUAUGGAUCUUUGUACAUUGAUUAAAAGUUGAGAUUUUUUUU